ensembl:lncRNA
AGUUCUCGACCAGAGUGCUGUUAUGUACAGCCCCAAAGAACUGGAGGGCGAAGUGGAUCACUCGUUUUUCAACAGCGACUGUGAUUGUGACAGCAUCAGCAAAGAGCGAAAGAAAGAGUGAAAUAAGCUCUGAGGCUAGAAAGGAGCCAGACAUCCAGCCGGAGGCUCCACAGAGAGCAACGUAGUGGUACAGAGAGGUCCGGUGGUGAUACCUCAACCGAGGACCGAGGAGAAGGGUCAUGGCUUUGAGGCCGAAGACAGGAGCAGCUGGUCUUCUAGCAUAUCUUCCAUUAAAUCAGAGGUAGGCAUGAUAAUGGUGAGGCUAUUUGGUGAAUGGCUGUAAGAAAGGCAUGGUCAAUGAUAGUCUGAUGAAAAUAACCACUGUCGUAUUUUACCCUUUCUCUUGACUUUUUCCCAUCCCUUUACCCAGGUCAAGGUAAAGUCACAAGGAAAGGGCAACGAGUACUUUAUUCUUAGGGACUCCCGAGUGGCGCAGCGAUCAAAGGCACUGCAUCUCAGUGCUAGAGCCGUCACUACAGACCCUGGUUUGAUUCCAGGCUGUUUCACAUCCGGCCGUGAUUGGGAGUCCCAUUGGGUGGCGCACAAUUGGCCCAGCGUCGUCCGGGUUAGGGUAGGCCUAGUUAAAUAUGUAUAUAUAUAUUUUUAAGUCUGUGUGGCUUCGUCAUUCUACUUUACGCCACUUUGGCAUUAGCCACUCAAUACAACUGCCCAGGCUUGGGGUCCUUUGGGAUUGAGGCCUAAUCAAUGUCAAGGAAGCAUCAUUAUUUGAAAUUCGAAAUUAAAGAUAUAUGAUUUAAUCCUAAAGAUGUCCAUUAGAAUUCCAAUUAUUUUUAUACAAUACAGUACAGAUUUAGAACAAACAGUAGUCACAUAAAAUGUGAUCCUCAUCAUUCAUGUUCUUAGUGGCAAUCACUUUCAAAAACAUGUCCAUCAAAGGUUUGAAUAGAGUUCCAUGACCAGGGAGCUGAUUAAUAAAAACAUGUCUAACCUUGGUCUGUUAUAAUAUUUGUAGUAGUUCUAAACUAUAUUCACUUACCUGUCUAGUCGGUGGUGAAUGGGGACAGCGGUGCAAAGGAGGAAUCUAGCAUCAACUCCAAGAGCUUCAGCGACAUCCGCACGGCGCCAUUGGCAGAGGAGCAGAUAAUGAUGAAGAUGGCUAUCACCAGAGCCAAGAUGAAAGCGAGGAAGAGUCAGGGAGGCCACCGGGUCAAAGGUUCCAAAAUUGUAUUAUUUAUUUCCUAAUUAUUUAGGAAUCCCAUAUAUCCUUAUCUCAAAAUGUAAAUGAGCCAUACAAUUUCUUAUCUUCAUGUAUUUAUUAUUUUAUCUAUUUAUUAUUUAUAAAUUACCAUUGAGAUUAUAAAUGUAUUUUCCAAAGGAGGCCUGGCCAAUAUACAGUUGAAGUCGGAAGUUUACAUACACCUUAGCCAAACACAUUUAAAUUCAGUUUUUCACAAUUCCUGAUAUUUAAUCCUAGUAAAAGAUUCCCUGUUUUAGAUCAGUUAGGAUCACCACUUUAUUUUAAAAUUGUGAAAUGUCAGAAUAAUAGUAGAGAGGAUUAUUUAUUUCAGCUUUUAUUUCUUUCAUCACAUUCCCAGUGGGUCAGAAGUUUACAUACACUCAAUUAGUAUUUGGUAGCAUUGCCUUUAAAUUGUCAAACGUUUCGGGUAGCCUUCCACAAGCUUCCAACAAUAAGUUGGGUGAAUUUUGACCCAUUCCUCCUGACAGAGCUGGUGUAACUGAGUCAGGUUUGUAGGCCUCCUUGUUCGCACACGCUUUUUCAGUUAUGCCCACAAAUUUUCUGUAACUGUUUCCUCCAGCAUCUUCACAAGGUCCUUUGCUGUUGUUCUGGGAUUGAUUUGCACUUUUCGCACCAAAUACGUUCAUCUCUAGGAGACAGAAGCCUAUCAGAAGCUUCUAAAGUCAUGACACCAAUUUCUGGAAUUUUCCAAGCUGUUUAAAGCCACAGUCAACUUAGUGUGUGUUAACUUCUGACCCACUGGAAUUGUGAUGCAGUGAAUUAUAUGUGAAAUAAUCUGUCUGUAAACAAUAUUUAAAAAUGUACUUCUGUCAUGCACAAAGUAGAUGUCUUAACCGUCUUGCCAAAACUAUAGUUUGUUAACAAGAAAUUUGUGGAGUGGUUGAAAAACAAGUUUUAAUGACUCCAACCUAAGUGUAUGUGUCACGGCUGGCUGAAGGACUGGACCAAGGUGCAACAUGGUAAGCGUACAUUCUCUCUUUAUUGAAAAUGACGCCAACAAAACAAAGAACAAAGCAAACCGUGAAGCUUUGGGCUAUGUGCCCUGAACAAAGACAAAGUUAACUUCCCACAAAACAGGUGGGGGAAAAGGGUACCUAAGUAUGGUUCUCAAUCAGAGACAACGAUAGACAGCUGUCCCUGAUUGAGAACCAUACCAGGCCAAGACAUAGAAAUACAAAACAUAGGAAAAAGGACAUAGAAUGCCCAUCCUAGUCACACCCUGGCCUAACCAAAAUAGAGAAUAAAAAGCCUCUCUAUGGCCAGGGCGUGACAGUAUGUAAACGUCCGACUUCAACUGUAGCAGCAAACAGGCAUGUAACAUUAUGCAGGGGUGUCAAACUCAUUUCAGGUGAGGGGAGUUCUUAACUAAUUAGUGACCUUAACUCAAUGAGUUCCACUGUCAUGUUGGUGCAUUUUGGACUUAUAUCCCCUUUUAAACAUUUUGUGUUUGAACUAUAGACUUCUGAUUUUGACCAUUGGAAGUGUCUAUUUCUUCUGCAUCCGAAGAUACCAAUUCUUAAUCAGAGAGGUACGUGGGGCUGCUUUAAUCGACAUCCACAUCAUCGGUGCCCGGAGGGCAUGUAACGGCUGUUGGAAGGAGAGGACCAAAACGCAGCAUGGUACGUGUUCAUACUUUAUUAGAACUGAACACUGAAAUAACAAAGAGAAUGAAUGAUAACCGAAACAGUCCUGUCAGGUGCAGAAAGACACAAAACAGAAAACAACUACCCGCCACACAGGUGGGAAAGGGCUACCUAAGUAUGGUUCUCAAUCAGAGACAACGAUAGACAGCUGCCUCUGAUUGAGAACCACACCCGGCCAAACACACAGAAAUAGAACACAUAGAACCCACAACAUAGAAUGCCCACCCCAAACUCACGCCCUGACCAAACAAAAUAGAGACAUAAAAAGGAUCUCUAAGGUCAGGGCGUGACCAGUUGUUGUUGGGGGUGCCUUGCUCGUUUGUCUCUGAUUAACAGGGGCUGAACUAGAGCAGCGUUUGUGAGACAAAGGAAGAUCCUUAAGGGGACCGGGCCGGGUCUUUUUACAAAUACGUCUGUGAAGUCUUAAUGGUUUGAGAUACUAACUAUUAAAAGCUAUCUACUCUGAUACUCCCACAAACAUGCACAUGUAACAUGUUUUACCUUAUGACGCUCACAAGCUACACAUGAGUUGUUAAAAGGAAAGGGGGUCUCCUACAUAGAAGAUCAUAGGAUAUCCCAUAACAUAGUGUCUAAUACUGUAAUAAGGUCACUUAGUUGCUGUCAACUCCAAACUCUACACAGUUGGAUAUUAAUUUGCCACUGAGAUGUAUUUAUUUCUUUUGACAUUUGUCAAUAAAACUCAUGAAUGCAACUGUUUAUGUCGAAUUGUUUUGUGUUCUACUUGUAGCCCUGGUUGUCCUGCAAAUACAAUGGUGAAACACUUAAUUGUGAGGCUAAUUAUAGGGGCUGGACAUGCAGAUAAAUGAAAGUCAGAUGAAUGGAAAGCCAAUUUUUGCUGGGGCUUCAGGGCUGAUAGGGUUAAUUGAUCAAUCAAGUACAAGGGAGGAGCGAAAACCUGCAGACACUCGGCCCUCCAUGGAAUGAUUUUGACACCUGUGCAUUACAAUACAUUGAAUCAACAGUAUAGUGUUCCAAUAUGCAGGCAAAAUAAAAAAUCACAAAAUACAGACAAAACUAAAGGCAUUCACAUCCUCUGUUUACCAGGUUGUGUUCUUAUCUAGACUGCCAUAUAAUUCAGUUGGAUUUUGGAAGCCUUUGUUUCGUGACUUUAUCUUUUGUUAACCCAAGGUUGAAACCCGUACCUAAUGAGACACGGCAAGAAGCCUAUCAGGAAGCUCCGCCACAGGAGCUUGUCCCCGUCUUCUACUUCAUCCGAGUCAGAGACGGAUGAGCGCUACAGCAGUGGGGAGAGCUGCUCCUCUGAGCCCUCUCACUUUGUGGACAUGGUAGGAUUACGACUUGUUCUUGCCUAGCUGGCUUAGGCUAGUCGUUCUCAAUCUGGCUCCUGGAGAGAGCUUCUGUACUGCCCGGCUUUGUACGCAUUCCCAGUGGUUACUUCAAGGAAGAGAGGAAAGAAGGAUGCAUUUUAAGAGUAUUCGGACAGGGUCCAGCUAUUUGUCCCAGCUCAGCAGUGAAACACCUGGGUUGAAUUCACUACAAACCAAACGGAGGCAAACGGGCUGAAAUGAGGCACCUAAUAAGAAACACUCGUUACCUCAUUACCUCAUAUCAGUCUCAAAAUUAUGAAUGUCGCAUACUCUUUGCAUCUGCACAAACGGCAGCUUUUACUGAUCAUUCCGUACCACACAAAUUGAUUUAAUUAUUUACGAACUAAAUAAUAACGCAGUAUACGCUAUUGAUUAGAAACUUGACAUAUAUAUAUUUUUGACCUUUAUUUAACCAGGCAAGUCAGUUAAGAACAAAUUCUUAUUUUCAAUGACAGCCUAGGAACAGUGGGUUAACCGCCUGUUCAGGGGCAGAACGACAGAUUUGUACCUUGUCAGCUCAGGGGUUUUGAACUUCCAACCUUCCGGUUACUAGUCCAACACUCUAACCACUAGGCUACCCUGCUGCCCCAUAUAUGAUGGAAACAGGUCCCUAUCGGACUAGCAACAACAUGACUGAUUGUUUAUCAAAAGAGGGAAGAGUAGAGAAGGGAAAAGGGAGAAAGAAAGAGAGACAACACUUAUACAUUUGUAACUACGCUCACGGUAAUCCUAAUACUUUGCCCCUGAACUGCUGCCCGUUUGGGGUAAGAAAUAAUUCAUGUCUAUACGUGUUUGAAUAUCUUCCUUUGUUGUUUAUCUCUGAUCGACCCAGGCCUUUGUGAAAAGGGUUCCGUUGGGCCUUCCACCGAGCUCUUAAGUGUAAGGCUCUGAUUGUCCACAAGAGGUCACAAUGUCCUUCUUAGUUGUCCAUGGCUUCAAUGCCUUGUACUGUAGUCUAAAGCAGAGCUAACAGGGUGGUGUUUACAUUCACUCAUUCUGGAAGAGUGGUCCUCUGAAGACAGCUAAUAAGCCAUGUCGAUGAUCCCCAGUGGGGUAAUGAGAGCAGUGUAGCCGACGAUGGUUUGAAGAGAGUAACAGGAUGAUCCUACUUAAAUUCACUUUCAUAGAUACAGUUUUUAGAAUAGCUACUCAGCCGUAACAUUGAUUGUUAGAGAGGCUACUUAUCGUCUUCACCUCGUGUUGAUUUUCAGGGUUGUGGAGGCCUAAGCUGCAGCUUGAGUCCUUCGGGUCUGAUAUGUUAAUUAUCAACUCAUCCUUUAUACACUCUGGUUAAAAGGGGCUGUUCCAUCAUGCUGACACGCUCUCCGAGCUCCCUUGGCGGUGGCUACUUACUGGGGCAAAGUAUCAUCAAAACUAUGAUCUCGUUAGAAAUCAAAAAUCACAUUCCUAUCUUAAAAACAAUACUCUAAUCAUCUUUGAUAUUUCAGGAAGAAAUCCUGACAUAAACCGUGUGUCUACUGUUCAAGUUACAAUAUUUUUGUUAUAAUAUUUUUAUACCAUUUUUAAUUACAUCACAAAAUAGACAUUAGUUUUCCUCUCAUCAUUCCACACAUUCGGAUGUUAGGAAUAUUGAUCCAGUGUUCACUUUUGGACGUUAGAGUUUUUCAGCGGCAAAAAGUCUCAGUAAUAAAGCCACAUUCUAAUCACCAAUACUAAAGACCAAAAGAGUCCUCUGCUGCAUACAGUUCACGACCGGGCGUGAGUUGUCCCAAAACCCCCACAUCAAUCCCUCCUUCUACCAGACACCUCUGCAGGUGAGAGGGGUCCGGUAGAAGCUGAUCCAUUGUAAACCUGAUUUUUGGAUCCUCACAGGAGAGUCAUGACAUGGCUAACUAACAAAAUGUUAAUCUGCUGUUUCCUCCUCUGUCAUCUCUCCCUCCUCUCUCUGAAACCUUCCUUAGUCGCCUGGGGAGUUGCCUGGCCAUCGUCUGCCCUAGUGGAGGCAGUACCAGGAAGAACUACUCCUUUAGCAACGACGAGGUGUGGCAGACCGACUGGGAGAACCAGAGGCUGCUGCGUCAGUUGUCGCGCCCCUCGACCCACUCGCGACCAUGCAGCACUAGUAGCUCCCGUAGGAGAUCCAAUGGAGGAUGAGGGAGUCCGCCCCCUGUCUGCCUCUACCACAGUGCCCUCAACAGGCAGCGUGAGCAGCAGCGCAUCGAGAAGGAGGACCUGCCUUUCCUGCUGAGGCUAGAGUCAGUGAGGCCCACCCGGGGCAUGAAGAAGGCAGAGAAGCUGGCAGACUACCAGUGCCAGGCCGGAUACCUGGGCAUCGCCACCACGCUCUCUGCCAUAGACAGAUCGCCCUCCAAUAUGGAACGGACCUCCAGCAGAACGUCAGCAGGAAAGAUGCCCAGGCCUGGCAGUACCAACCACCACCACAGUGCCAGGGCAUCAUAUGCCAUCGCUAUCGCCGCCACACCCCUACCCAGGCAUGCCAGUGCGGCAGCGUCCCGGCAACCUGGUCCUGAGAGCUGUGCUCAGGGAGGAGCACCAUUCCCCAACUCCCCACCUUACCAAGACCUUACCAAUAAGGCAAUUACUUGCCCCUAAACACUGAUCCAAGGUCAGUUUGACAUUCUUCCCCCAGAUGGUUAUGUUGAGUUUGUUAGGAGUGUCCCUCACAAUGAAGGAUCUGUGUCAGAGAGGUGCGAAGCCGGAAAGUGGUCACACUUUGUCGAAACUAAAUCUCCAUUGUGCUCUGAUCAUGCACUUGUCCAGUGAUUCUGUUUUAGCACACAAUACUCGUAAAUAAAGGGAUCUGACACUGAUUGGCUGUUUCCCAGAUGUAGAAUAAGCCUUGAAGAACUUUCAAUUGAACUUUUUAUUUAUUUAUUUUUCCUUGGAGAAUACUUUUUAGUCCAGGAGUACGUUUAAGUUGGGUCCGGGAAACCAGUCCUAUAUGAUGUAAGAAUGAUAUUGUGUUGCCGUUAUACAACCGUUCUCAUAAAACUGUGUCACUAUUGCUACCCAGGACCAAUUCUAGCUGCUAUAAAGUAUUGUGAACUGUACUUCUGUUGUAAUGGAAGAUAUAGCCUGGCUAUAUCUUGUCACAACAGAACUGACUGGCUCAAACGUAGGAAAGCAAUUCCACAAAUUAACAUUUAAGAAGACACACCUGUUAAUUGUAAUGCAUUCCAUUUUUUGGUUACUACAUGAUUCCAUAUGUGUUAUUUCAUAGUUUUGAUUUCUUCACUAUUAUUCUACAAUGUAGAAAAUAGUAAAAAUAAAGAAAAAGCCUUGAAUGAGUAGGUGUUCUUAAACGUUUGACCGGUAGCUAAUAUGGUUCAGGUAUAAUAAAAAAAAAAAUAUAUAUAAUUUUGUCAGCUUAGCAGGUGGUGUAACGCUCGUCGUUGGGAGAGAGAGAGGAGGACCAAGGUGCAACGUGGUGGUAAGUAUUCAGAGUCUCUUUUAUUGAAAACGAAUACUUGCACAAAAACAACUAAACGAAACGAGAACGAAACGAAAACAGUCCUGAAUGGUGAAAUACAAACACAGAACAGAAAAUAAACACCCACGCAACACAGGUGGAAAAAGGCUACCGAAGUAUGAUUCUCAAUCAGAGACAACUAACGACACCUGCCUCUGAUUGAGAACCAUACCAGGCCAACCUCAAAAACCAACAUAGAAAAACCAACAUAGACAACCCACCCAACUCACGCCCUGACCAUACUAAAACAAAGACCUAAAUAAAAGAACUAAGGUCAGAACGUGACAGGUGGUGCCUAUCAAUAUGCUUAGUGAAUAGAGGAAGUACUAUGUAUGCCAUGCUGUAUUUCCACUCUUGUGAAAUUUGUUCAAGUGGAACUUUUCAUCAAUGUUUCUGUUAUUGUUGUGUGUCACACCCUGACCAUAGUUUACUUUGUAUAUUUCUAUGUUUUGGUUGGUCAGGGUGUGAGCUGAGUGGGCAUUCUAUGUUUCAUGUCUAGUUUGUCUAUUUCUAUGUCUGGCCUGAUAUGGUUCUCAAUCAGAGGCAGGUGUUAGUCAUUGUCUCUGAUUGGGAACCAUAUUUAGGUAGCAUGGGUUUCACUGUGUGUUUGUGGGGGAUUGUUCCUGUAUCUGUGUUUUCACCAGAUAGGGCUGUUUUUGUAUUGAUUCGUGUUUUACGUUUGUUGAUUAAACAUGGAUCGCAAUCUACACGCCGCAUUUUGGUCCGACUCUCCUUCACCAAAAGAGAACCGUUACAUUAUGAUGAAUAAUGAGAGAGAUAUUUGUGUACUAGUAAAGCUUUUUUAGAAUAUCAUGGGAGAAUUAGUCAUACUUUUUUAUUGUGAUCCUGUGCAAAUUUCUUGAUGUUUUCCAAUAAAGCUGCUUGUUGCCGCACCACUCAUGUCUGUCCGUGGU